CAGCCGCCACGGGAAUACGAAGGGUGCAAGCGUUAAUCGGAAUUACUGGGCGUAAAGCGUGCGUAGGCGGUUUGUUAAGUCUGUUGUGAAAUCCCCGGGCUCAACCUGGGAAUGGCAAUGGAUACUGGCAAGCUAGAGUGUGUCAGAGGAUGGUGGAAUUCCCGGUGUAGCGGUGUAAUGCGUAGAGAUCGGGAGGAACAUCAGUGGCGAAGGCGGCCAUCUGGGACAACACUGACGCUGAGGCACGAAAGCGUGGGGAGCAAACAGGAUUAGAUACCCCCGUAGUCCCUGUCUCUUAUAC
rnacentral:rRNA from 1 species